UAGGGAAUUUUCCACAAUGGGGGCAACCCUGAUGGAGCAACGCCGCGUGCUGGAUGAAGGCCUUCGGGUUGUAAACAGCUUUUGUCUGCGACGAAUAUGACGGUAGCAGACGAAUAAGGAUCGGCUAACUACGUGCCAGCAGCCGCGGUCAUACGUAGGAUCCAAGCGUUAUCCGGAUUUACUGGGCGUAAAGAGUUGCGUAGGUGGCAGAGUAAGUUAGUAGUGAAAGCGUGUGGCUCAACCAUACUCACAUUACUAAAACUGCUCAGCUUGAGGACGAGAGAGGUCACUGGAAUUCCAAGUGUAGGAGUGAAAUCCGUAGAUAUUUGGAGGAACACCGAUGGCGUAGGCAGGUGACUGGCUCGUUCCUGACACUAAGGCACGAAAGCGUGGGGAGCAAACGGG
rnacentral:rRNA from 1 species